ACAAGUCGAGCGGUAACAGAAAGUAGCUUGCUACUUUGCUGACGAGCGGCGGACGGGUGAGUAAUGCUUGGGAACUUGCCUUGAGGUGGGGGAUAACAGUUGGAAACGACUGCUAAUACCGCAUAAUGCCUACGGACCAAAGGGGGCUUCGGCUCUCGCCUUUAGAUAUGCCCAAGUGGGAUUAGCUAGUUGGUGAGGUAAUGGCUCACCAAGGCGACGAUCCCUAGCUGGUCUGAGAGGAUGAUC
rnacentral:rRNA from 1 species